rnacentral:lncRNA from 1 species
AUGGGAGCUUUGAAAAGAGUUUUGCUUUUUGUGGUGCUCCUUGAGGUCUUGGAAGUUUCUUGUGUUCCUGCUGACAAGUCGCAGAAGCAACAUGGAAACUCACUCCAGAGUCUUCAAGUGCAUUUGGACACUGAUGAAGAACCGUCCAAGGGCGUGUUUGUCCCCAUUCAGACAACAUCUCAAGUCACGGCGGCCUACGACAACUCUGCUAUUCCACUGCCUGAAGACACAAGUGAUUCUACCGCCACUAGUGAAACCUCUGGCCUUGCAGCCGACGAGCCCUCCACGAAGGCUGCCGCUAGCACCACCUCUGGCCUCGCAGCGGAUUCCUGUGCACAAACCAUGGGCUUAUUCAACUGCUUAGUUCAAAACGGAGUUGGUUUUCCUGCAGCGGAUUGAGUGGAAAUGUCCACAAUCACAGUACAUCUGAGUAUAUCAAUUGUGACCUUGCGAAUUGAAACAAUAAAAGAGAAUUCAGUCAAUGAUUUUUGUUCUCCUGAACCUCUUCCAGGAAGUACUGCCACAGGGCAUAUAGGGGGUUAGCUCCUCUUCUAUCCUGCACUAACAAAAUCCUAAUGUUGUGCCAAAGGUUAUGGAGAUCUUGUAAUGGCUAGAAAUUUGAAGGGACUGGAAAUGUUGACUAGAGAGAAUGCAGUGGAAGACUCAAAAAGCUCUAUCAGAUGAACAAUACCGACAGUUCCAGAAAACAAAUCCAGUGACCUUUGCCCAGCCUCUGACAUAAUUGCCAACGGAACGCUUUUGUCUUAAAUUUCCCUUUGGGGUGCGUUGCUGCUAUGAAACCAAAAGGCCUCAUGUAGCAGAGAUUGCAGCAUGCAAAAGAACAUAAUUCGUGGCGUUACAAACAAUAGCAGUCUAACAAAACACAGUCCAAAUUUGGUAAUCGUUAGUUCACAAAGACUGCCGAGUUAGAUGAAUUGACAAGAAAUAAUUGAAUUCACGUGGGCCAUAUUCUGUGAAGCACUCUGGUAGCUGUGUGGGAGGAAUUUACUCAACAUUGUUAAUUCUUAAUAGCUUUUCCUGAACGAAGUUAUAGAUAAUAGACAUCAAUGCUGCAGCAGCCCUUGGUCUUUCAUCUAAAACUUUCACAUUUAAAUGGGUUACAGGUGCUACCUUUCAUUUGAGUAGAGUUAUAACUGUUUCCCUGGGAACCUCUAGCCAUCAUGGGAGGUCAUUCAAUGCCCUUUAUACAAGGAUGGAACUUCAGUUCUUACCACUUAGUGAUAUCAUUUUGUUAGAAUUCCUGAUAUGAAAGGAGUCUACCCUGAUAGUGGAAUGAAUACGAUUAGUAACAUGGUCUUCCAUGUGGGAUGUAAAAUGGAGAUCUAACUUGAAAUCCUCCUGUGUACAACUUCUUACAAAACUCUUUUCCAGCUUUCCCAAAAGACCUUUGCACAAAAAGUCCAUAAAACGCCCCGCAAACAUGAUUAGGAGCGGAAAUCUGCAAAAUACUUCUGGCUGGCAUUCUAAGGGAGGUCAUACACAGACUGACUUGUUAAGUUGUGGGGUUCCUGUCUGCUGCACACUUGUAGGCCUUAUCAGACACUGGCUUUAGGUAUGUGUCACAUGGCCUAUUUAAGCCUCUUAUAGGCCACACUAAAACUACUUGUUGGUAACAAAAGUUAUUAUUGAAAAUAGUUUUGCUCCUUGAGGUCUUGGAAGGUUUGUGACUGUUGUUUUACUUUCACUACAAGAACUCAACUGAAUACCUGGCCAAUUUUAAAUUUUACAGAUGUAACAUUUGAAAUCUCCUUCAAAAAUCACUGUUUGUCAUUGCUAAGUGUAUGUGUAUUGUGACAUCUCCUUAGUUGCUUGUGUUCCUGUUUAGAAGUCCCAGAAGCAAGAUGGAAUCUCACUGCAGUCUUUAAGGUUUUUGUCCCCCCUUCCAGCAGGGUUUUUUUUCACUGCAAAGACUUACCACUGGUAAGAAGCUGCUACUUGGUUAGUUGAAAAUGCAAUGGGAGAAUAAACCUACUUGGUGACAUGGUUUGUUUAUGGAUUGGUGAAAGAUGUCUUUCGGAAUCAGUCAUGGUUGCACUGUUGUGGCCUUUAUGUAGCAAGUGGUUAAGAAAGUUGUUGGAACUACUCAACAAUGUGUGCUGCCUUUGACACCUCCGUAAUUGAAGAUAAUGACAUAAAACAAGUUAGUUUGGGAUUUACACCAUUUUAAACAAUUUGUGACUGGGGUACAUGUGUAAAGUUUAAGAAUCACUUCUUAAACUUGACCACAUUGCCUGAACCUUCACUGAACUUACUAUUCUUGUGCCUGAUUUUACAUUCUCCUUUUUCAGAAAUGUCCUCAAAUUACCUUUCUAUUGAACAUCUGUUCUCACUGCUCCAGUUAAAUGAGUCUGGUGCUGCUGCAGAAGGUAGGCAUGGCAACACUGGUAAAUUUGCAAUGAGUUUCGAGGGUUCUGAUAUUGCUUAAUUGAGACAGAAUGUUGCCUUUACAUUCGAUCUGGACACCAAUGAAAUUCUGGCCCCAUUACGACAUUACCUGAAAUAAUGCCUGACCCAUCUGACAAUUACUACUCUACUAGUGCUCUGCCUGAAGAUCCAAGCGACUUGACCAAUGUUGAGGCCUCACCUUCUGCUCCUGAAGUCGCACUGGAUGACGCUUCACAUACCUCCGGCCCAACGGCCCCAGCCGACGAAGCUGGCCCCAGCUCCGCCUGCCCAGGAUUUUACUUUGGUUUUCUCCAUUACUGAAUGUGAAAAAAGCUAGUAUUAUUUACGACCUUGUCUUGUUACCCAAAGUCUGGAAAUGUAUCUCUGGUGUUCUAAUGGGCAUAGUCUGAGUGCGUACCCUACAAUCUACCUUUGGUUACUUGGAUUCAACAAGACCAUGUCAGUAUCAGCAACAAAUGUCAUUCUACAAGAACAAAUGACUGGAGGAGUUGCUUUAGAUUGUGGUCAAACAUACUGAUUUCCUUAUUUGCAUUGUGCAUUUUAGGUGAGACAAUAUCAAACAAAUGUUAGUAUGCAAUGAUUGGAACAGUUUGGUGUAAGCCCAGUCUGGGGAACCUCUGCAGUAGGGAUGUAAUUGUUGAGCUUGUAUGGGCCUUUAUUUCCCACAGUGUGCCUGUAAAGUUUGUUUUGGUCACAGUGGAUCUGCUUGAAAGUUAAGUUGUUUGGGGAAGCACUAGUUACCUCUGGUGGUCUGGUCUGCUUGAUGCAUGCUCCAGGAUACAUCUAACUCCUAACUUUCCUUAUCCGUCUUGAUGUUGCCCGUUGAUGGAAAUUCCUGCAACUCCCAAGAUUUCCUUCUUUAAGUAGGCUGCUUGUGGAUUGUAGGUGACGUGGGGUGUGAGAUGAUCAAGGCAUGAAGGGAUACAGCAUAUGAUGUCAGCUCAAUUUCGAGGUAGGACAACAGCCAGGUGCUAACAAUUUGUCUGUAUUGGAUAACGAUGUUUGGUAUUUAUAUUAUGCUUAACAUUUUUGUAGCUAACAUGACAAUAAGCUAGUGCAAAAGAGCAGUGCAUGAGUGUUUCUUGCUAACUUGCCUACAAGGGCUGCUAACAACAUUUUCUUUUCCAACAGACUGUAAAAUGUCAUUUCAAGAAAUACAAUCAUUCAUGAGUCAGACGGAAACAAAAAAUAUGAAUAACAGGAUCUGAAAGUGUGAGCACAUUGCGCUGUCUUGCUUAUUAGACAACUGACAAGUUAAACUCAAUAAACAAGUUAUACUCUUUUUGCGAAACGAUACUAGCAAGCA